UACGAAGGGGGCUAGCGUUGUUCGGAAUUACUGGGCGUAAAGCGCACGUAGGCGGAUAUUUAAGUCAGGGGUGAAAUCCCAGAGCUCAACUCUGGAACUGCCUUUGAUACUGGCGACCUUGAGUCCGGGAGAGGUGAGUGGAACUGCGAGUGUAGAGGUGAAAUUCGUAGAUAUUCGCAAGAACACCAGUGGCGAAGGCGGCUCACUGGCCCGGUACUGACGCUGAGGUGCGAAAGCGUGGGGGAGCAAACAGG
rnacentral:rRNA from 1 species